rnacentral:lncRNA from 1 species
GGAGGGAUAUGCCAUUAACUUGACAAGAACGCAUUCGAGUCGAGUAGCUCCUAAUUAAAAAUCAGUUGGUCGCAUCUGCCCAACUUACCUUAGACUCCAAAUUGUCGAACCAAAACCAAUUGGGUUAGUCUACAAUCCAGGCUCUAACCACUGAGCCAAAUUAGAUCUUAACUUGAUCGAGUCACAUUUAAAUGUGAUUCGAUCUUGACCUAGACUUAAUUCUAUUAGGCUGGUCAAUUAUUAGCUUUUACAAUCCCACCUAACCAACUUUUGAUUCGGUUUGAUCAAUCGCUAGAUCUAAUUAAGCUAUCCAAGUUAGAACCUAAUUUUAUGAAAAUGACUUAGAUCUGAAAUUUUCAAUUUUAGACCUAAUUUAAUUUCAUAAGCUUAAUUCAUUAAUUAAGUCUUGGGUUCAUAAACAAAACAUGUAAAUAAAUCCUAGGAUUUUAGGAUCUAGGGUUUUGCAGAAAAGUAA